AUUGAACGCUGGCGGCAGGCUUAACACAUGCAAGUCGAGCGGGGUGAUGGUGCUUGCACUAUCACUUAGCGGCGGACGGGUGAGUAAUGCUUAGGAAUCUGCCUAUUAGUGGGGGACAACAUCUCGAAAGGGAUGCUAAUACUGCAUACGUCCUACGGGAGAAAGCAGGGGAUCACUUGUGACCUUGCGCUAAUAGAUGAGCCUAAGUCGGAUAGCUAGUUGGUGGGGUAAAGGCCUACCAAGGCGACGAUCUGUAGCGGGUCUGAGAGGAUGAUCCGCCACACUGGGACUGAGACACGGCCCAGACUCCUACGGGAGGCAGCAGUGGGGAAUAUUGGACAAUGGGGGGAACCCUGAUCCAGCCGUGCCGCGUGUGUGAAGAAGGCCUUAUGGUUGUAAAGCACUUUAAGCGAGGAGGAGGCUCUUUUGGUUAAUACCCAAGAUGAGUGGACGUUACUCGCAGAAUAAGCACCGGCUAACUCUGUGCCAGCAGCCGCCGAAA
rnacentral:rRNA from 1 species